AAUGAACGUUGGCGGCGUGGAUUAGGCAUGCAAGUCGUACGGGUCGGUGUAGCAAUACAACGGCAAGUGGCGAAAGGGAGAGUAACACGUAGAUACCUACCCUCUGGUCGGGGAUACCGCGGCAUAACCGCAAGUAAUACCCGAUAAAAUCUCCGGAUCAAAGGUGUGAUUCCGCCGGAGGAGGGGUCUGCGUUCUAUCAGCUUGUUGGCGAGGUAACGGCUCACCAAGGCUAAGACGGAUACGGGGUGUGAGAGCAUGCCCCCGCUCACUGGGACUGAUACACUGCCCAGACACACACGGGUGGCUGCAGUCGAGAAUCUUCGGCAAUGGGCGCAAGCCUGACCGAGCGACGCCGCGUGCGGGAUGAAGGCCUUCGGGUUGUAAACCGCUGUCGAGGGGAAUGAAGUGUAGGUAAGUCAUCUUAUCUAUUUGACAGAUCCCUGGAGGAAGCAUGGGCUAAGUUCGUGCCAGCCGCCGCAGUAACAC
rnacentral:rRNA from 1 species